rnacentral:rRNA from 1 species
UGAGCCAUGCCGCCUAGAAAAGCUUCUAAGCGUCGAUAUUUGAGUGACCGUACCGCAAACCGACACUGGUAGGUGGGUAGAAUAUACCAAGGGGAGCGAGAGAACCCUCGUUAAGGAAUUAGGCAAAUUUCCCCCGUACGUUCGCAAUAAGGGGGGCCUCUGGUGGUGAGCUUAAUCGCAAAGCUGCUGGAGGCCGCAGAGAAAUGGCUCUUCCAACUGUUUAACAAAAACACAGGUCUCUGCUAAGUCGAAAGACGAAGUAUAGGGGCUGACGCCUGCCCAGUGCUGGAAGGUUAAGGGGAGAGGUUAGGGGUAACCCGAAGCUUUGAGCCGAAGCCCCAGUGAACGGCGGCCGUAACUAUAACGGUCCUAAGGUAGCGAAAUUCCUUGUCGGGUAAGGUCCGACCCGCACGAAUGGCGUAAUGAGAGGAGCACUGUCUCAACGAGGGACUCGGCGAACAUUGAAGGACGUGUGAAGAUACACGUGACCCGCAGCGGGACAAAAAGACCCCGUGAAGCUUUACUACAACUUGCCAUUGAGUUAGGGCUAAAUCUGUGUAGUAUAGGUGGGAGGCUUUGAAGCUGGGGCGCCAGUCUCGGUGGAGCCACCGUUGAAAUACCACCCUGAUUUAGUCUUGGCUCUAACCUGUCGCCGUUAUCCGGCAUGGGAACAGUGGCUGGUGGGUAGUUUGACUGGGGCGGUCGCCUCCGAAAGCGUAACAGAGGCGCCCAAAGGUUCCCUCAGGCUGAAUGGAAACCAGCCGUUGAGUGUAAAGGCACAAGGGAGCUUGACUGCAAGACCAACAAGUCGCGCAGGGACGAAAGUCGGGCUUAGUGAUCCCACGGUUCAGAGUGGAAUGGCCGUGGCUUACCGGAUAAAAGCUGCUCCGGGAUAACAGGGUAGUCUGGUCCAAGAGUUCAUAUCGACGACCAGGUUCGCCACCUCGAUGUCGGCUCAUCACAUCCUGGGGCUGGAUAGGGUCCCAAGGGUUGGGCUGUUCGCCCAUUAAAGUGGUACGUGAGCUGGGUUCAGACCGUCGUGAGACAGGUCGGUCUCUAUCCGCUGUGGGCGUAAGGGAUUUGAGAGAAGCUGCUCCUAGUACGAGAGGACAGGAGUGUCACAGACCUCUAGUGUGCCAGUUGUCGUGCCAACGGCAUUGCUGGGUAGCUACGUCUGGCAGAGAUAACCGCUGAAAGCAUCUAAGUGGGAAACUCGUCUCAAGAUUAGAUCCCUCAUCCGUAUGGAGUAAGACCGCUAGAAGACGACUAGUAUGAUAGGCGGCAGGUGUAAGCGCAGUAAUGUGUUCAGCUUAGCCGUACUAAUGGUCGAGGGCUUACGUUG